UACGGAGGGUGCAAGCGUUAAUCGGAAUUACUGGGCGUAAAGCGUGCGUAGGCGGUUCGUUAAGCCUGUUGUGAAAGCCCCGGGCUCAACCUGGGAAUGGCAAUGGAUACUGGCGAGCUAGAGUGUGUCAGAGGAUGGUGGAAUUCCCGGUGUAGCGGUGAAAUGCGUAGAGAUCGGGAGGAACAUCAGUGGCCAAGGCGGCCAUCUGGGACAACACUGACGCUGAGGCACGAAAGCGUGGGGAUCAAACAGG
rnacentral:rRNA from 1 species